AGCACCAUUGCUUGGGUUUUUCUCUGUUUAUUGGAAUUCACGGCAUAAAAGAUAAGAUAGUCAUUGUAGUCUACUUCAACUAUGUGAAACAUAUUGUAUCCAUCAUCUGAAACACUAUAUACACCUCCCUCUUCUGUUUCAUCACAAAUGAAAGGCAGUUCAGCACACUCUCCGUUGAUCCUGUGAAACAGAAUGAGCUGAGUGGUGCCCGUGAGAUACUGAGGGGCUGGCUCCCUGCCACUCCACCUGUAACCUGAGUGUCCCAUUUCGUGAAGUAUUGAAAAACCUUUGGUAAAACUUUGAAAGAGCUUUUAUUUCCCUUGUUUCACUUUAUUUGCUACUUUAAGAAUGAGCCGACUACUGACAUCACUGUUCCUCCACUUCCCACUCUCACCUCUGCUGCGGCUACCUGUCUAGAUAGUUGGCCGAGGGCUCAGCUGUGCCAGCGUCUCAUAUGAAUGCUGUACAAGCAUUGCCUCACUCAGCCCUCACAC